rnacentral:tRNA from 1 species
GUCACUUUGCCGGAGUGGUUAACGGGAUCGCCUGCUAUCUAAUAGCUGUAAGCGGUUGGGCUUUGCCCGCGUGUGUUCGAAUCGCACAGGUGACG